AAAAAGUCCCUUCCUUUAAUGAAACUACAAUACUUUAUAGUAAUUAGAUAGAUAGAUAGAUAGAUAGAUAGAUAGAUAGAUAGAUAGAUAGAUAAGUGCUGUAGAAAAAUCAAUAAAAUGAAAUGGGGUAGAAAGAAAUAGUGUCGUCAGGUGGGUAAUGGAAGAGCUUUGUAAUCUGUACAUUGGAAGGCUAGACUGGCCCUUGCCGUAUGUAGUUCAUGGACUCAUGCGUCAAGAUGUAGAAGCUUGGCAUUUCCUGCAUAGGAACGAGAGUAGGCAGUAGGAUGCUAUCACACUACAGGGCCAUGAAGGCCUGGCGUAAGCUAAGUACAUGGUCACACCCGUGGUUCAGGAUCACAUUGAGCAUCCUUGUGGGUUAAAGGGGGUUACUUCAGUUUUCAGGCCCUUGUUAACUCUCUACAGGCAUCUCUCCCUUCAAAGGCUUUAAAGAUCUCAGGGCAGGAAGGCAGCUGCUCCUUAAUUUUCAUGCUCUAUCCACUUCGGUGUCUAGCUCUUGACACAUACACCCUAAUUUGAUUCCCGAUUCUAGUGAGUCACUUCAGAUGCCUUAUUUAGAGAAUAACAUAUUACAUGUGAAAAAAGAUUAUUGGUUGAGAGCACAGUCUGUGGGGACAGAUGAAUAGUUGCCCUGGCUGACUUGCUGAAUAUUAGCUCUUAAGGUUCACAUUUAUUCCUAAGGCCCAGCAUAUUUUCAAAUCCAAGUCAACCUUUGUUCACUUCCACAACCAGACCGCCAUUUUAUGUUCGACAUUUCUAUCAGGAGUUCACUUAGCCUGAAUUUUGAGCUUUUAAAUGGGAGUUUUGGUUAGGGCUGUACAGAGGGCAUGGACUUGUCUCAGUCAUUACACAGAUAAAAUGUUAGGGUCUAUCAGUGACCUUACUAGUUCUUUAAUGUAGAGGCAAGUUCUACUUGAAAUCAUAAAGCAGUCUUCCAAACAUAGAACUUGUGUGGUGUACUUCAGUAAAUACAUCUAGCCUACCAUGUGUUUUUAUAAAUAAAGUUCUACUGAAUUACAGGCCCCUUGCUCGUGUGUUCUCAGAGGCAGCCUUUUGUCAGUACCACAGAUCCCUACUAUCGGAGCCUUUAUUGAAAAGCUUGUCAUCACUCUUUGUGUAGUAGAAUAGAAUGCUGUAGGAGACAAGACAGCACGAAUCCUAAGACAUGGGUUUGCUGCCUGGGGCCUGGGUGAUCCUCUUUGACCCACUGUGUACAUCACUUUGAUGUCGCCGAUGCUGCUGCAAACCGCCCUCCCUACCGUGCUGUGGUCCACGCUAAAGCCACGCUGUCCUGCUAACCAGUUUUCUUUCUUUCCUCAGAAUACCCUGGAGCAGUGCAGUGUGUGUUCGAAGCCCAUCAUGGAGCGGAUCCUCCGUGCCACCGGGAAGGCCUACCACCCCCACUGCUUCACCUGCGUGAUGUGCCACCGUAGCCUGGACGGCAUCCCAUUUACUGUGGAUGCUUGCGGUCUCAUUCACUGCAUUGAGGACUUCCACAAGUAAGCAACCCCUCUGCCCUCUGACCUGCCGGUCCUCUUGACGUGGGCUCUUGCUGCCCACCACUGGCUGUGCUUCUUUCUGAGCUAUGUACUCUGGGGUUUAGGGAGAUGUUCCAAGAGUGAUCUCUGGCGCAUGGAUGGAUGUAGGAAGUCCCUGUUGUCCUCCCAUACUCUCUCUAUUCAGAGCUUCUCUACAGUUGAUCAAGACAUCCCUGUGAAGCUGUAGAUAUGGAGGAGUUGAUUCAGGGAGAUGAGAGGUGUGGCCAUUGGCACGUUGCACAACUCCCAGCUCUUCAAUUUAGUUAUUACACCAAAACUUGUCCUAACUGUGACAACCUCUCCAGGUUUGUCACUGUACAGUUAGGAGCUGCUGGUACACAGAUACAGAGACCAAUUCCAUCCCACAGUUCCAGUGUGAGAGGCAGUCGAAUGCUAUAGUCAACAUAUCCAUGUCCUCCCUCACCCUUCUCCCCAACCAAGGCCUUAUGUGCCUCCAUGUGUUUCCUGAUGACUUCAGUUGUGCCACAUUUUGAGAAGGAUCCUAAAAGCAUAUGACGUGUCUUCAUGUCUCUGAUUUCACAGCCCCUCUCUUCCAUCACAACUGCAGGGUUUAGGAAAAUGGCAGUUUUGCAUUUUUCUUCAUGUGCUUGUUAGCUGGCUAACCAGCUCAUCCUACCAGUGUGCAUGUUUAUUAUGGUCAAUGUGGGAAGCUUCAGGUACGGCCCGUGAGAGGUAGUACAGGCUCCCUUGCUGGGCAGAUGCUCUGUGAGUGGUUUGUAAGGCUCCCAAGGUUGAAGCACAUUGCUUACCACUUUGGGCUCCGCUCUGAGGCUCAAGACGGGCUGUGGGUUUCUUUCCCCACUGUUGAUUGUCAACGUCCAGAAGGUACUUUCCACAAGCAGUGUUGGGACCUGAGACUCAUAUUUUAAAAAUGAAUUUCCUGACCACUCUCCUAAGUAGCAGUGAAAGCAAAAACCUCACCAAAAGACGCGAGGUUGAAUGAACU
rnacentral:lncRNA from 1 species